UGUCCUGUGGCUUAAUUGGUUAAAGCGCCUGUCUUACGAAUACAGAGUCGUGAGUUCAAAUCCCACCUGAAUGC
rnacentral:tRNA from 1 species